rnacentral:rRNA from 1 species
UACGUAGGGUGCGAGCGUUAAUCGGAAUUACUGGGCGUAAAGCGUGCGCAGGCGGCUUUGUAAGACGGAUGUGAAAUCCCCGGGCUCAACCUGGGAACUGCAUUCGUGACUGCAAGGCUAGAGUGUGUCAGAGGGAGGUGGAAUUCCGCGUGUAGCAGUGAAAUGCGUAGAUAUGCGGAGGAACACCGAUGGCGAAGGCAAUCCCCUGGGCCUGCACUGACGCUCAUGCACGAAAGCGUGGGGAGCAAACAGGAUUAGAUACCCUGGUAGU